UCCCUGGUAGCUCAGCUGGCAAAGUAUCUGUAAUGCAGGAGACCCAGGUUCAAUUCCUGGGUAGGGAA
rnacentral:tRNA from 1 species